rnacentral:rRNA from 1 species
GUUGUAUGGUUAAGUGACGAAGCGUAUACGGUGGAUGCCUUGGCAGUUAGAGGCGAUGAAGGACGUGUAAGUCUGCGAAAAGCUGUGGUGAGCCGACAAAAUGCAUUUGAGCCACAGAUGUCCGAAUGGGGAAACCCACCUGUUUACAGGUAUCGUUAACUGAAUACAUAGGUUAACGAGGCAAACGAGGGGAACUGAAACAUCUAAGUACCCUUAGGAAAAGAAAUCAACCGAGAUUCCCCUAGUAGCGGCGAGCGAACGGGGAGCAGCCCUUAAGCUGUUUAGAAUUUAGUGGAAUCCUUUGGGAAGAGGAGCGAUACAAGGUGAUAGCCCUGUACACGACGGAUUCUUUACAGUGAAAUCGAGUAGGUCGGGACACGUGUUAUCUUGACUGAAUAUGGGGGGACCAUCCUCCAAGGCUAAAUACUCCUAACUGACCGAUAGUGAACCAGUACCGUGAGGGAAAGGCGAAAAGAACCCCUGUGAGGGGAGUGAAAUAGAACCUGAAACCGUAUACGUACAAGCAGUGGGAGCCACUUCGUGUGGUGACUGCGUACCUUUUGUAUAAUGGGUCAGCGACUUAUAUUUAGUAGCAAGGUUAAGUGAAUAACGGAGCCGUAGCGAAAGCGAGUGUUAACUGCGCGUUUAGUUGCUAGGUAUAGACCCGAAACCCGGUGAUCUAGCCAUGAGCAGGUUGAAGGUUGAGUAACAUCAACUGGAGGACCGAACCCACUAACGUUGAAAAGUUAGGGGAUGACUUGUGGCUGGGGGUGAAAGGCCAAUCAAACCGGGAGAUAGCUGGUUCUCCCCGAAAUCUAUUUAGGUAGAGCCUCGGACGAAUUCCAUUGGGGGUAGAGCACUGUUAAGGCUAGGGGGUCAUCCCGACUUACCAACCCUUUGCAAACUCCGAAUACCAAUGAGAACUAUCCGGGAGACACACGGCGGGUGCUAACGUCCGUCGUGGAGAGGGAAACAACCCAGACCGCCAGCUAAGGUCCCAAAAUAUUGCUAAGUGGGAAACGAUGUGGGAAGGCAUAGACAGCUAGGAGGUUGGCUUAGAAGCAGCCACCCUUUAAAGAAAGCGUAA